UACGUAGGGUGGAAGCGUUGUCCGGAAUUAUUGGGCGUAAAGAGCUUGUAGGCGGUUUGUCGCGUCUGCUGUGAAAUUUCGGGGCUCAACCCCGAACUUGCAGUGGGUACGGGCAGACUAGAGUGUGGUAGGGGAGACUGGAAUUCCUGGUGUAGCGGUGAAAUGCGCAGAUAUCAGGAGGAACACCGAUGGCGAAGGCAGGUCUCUGGGCCACUACUGACGCUGAGAAGCGAAAGCAUGGGGGAGCGAAACAGG
rnacentral:rRNA from 1 species